rnacentral:rRNA from 1 species
GGUGGUUUGGCGCGUUGUUCGUGAAAACCGGGGGCUUAACCCUCGGCGUGCGGGCGAUACGGGCAGACUAGAGUACUGCAGGGGAGACUGGAAUUCCUGGUGUAGCGGUGGAAUGCGCAGAUAUCAGGAGGAACACCGGUGGCGAAGGCGGGUCUCUGGGCAGUAACUGACGCUGAGGAGCGAAAGCGUGGGGAGCGAACAGGAUUAGAUACCCUGGUAGUCCACGCCGUAAACGGUGGGUACUAGGUGUGGGUUUCCUUCCUUGGGAUCCGUGCCGUAGCUAACGCAUUAAGUACCCCGCCUGGGGAGUACGGCCGCAAGGCUAAAACUCAAAGGAAUUGACGGGGGCCCGCACAAGCGGCGGAGCAUGUGGAUUAAUUCGAUGCAACGCGAAGAACCUUACCUGGGUUUGACAUGCACAGGACGCCGGCAGAGAUGUCGGUUCCCUUGUGGCCUGUGUGCAGGUGGUGCAU